rnacentral:rRNA from 1 species
GAUGAACGCUGGCGGCGUGCCUAAUACAUGCAAGUCGAGCGAACGGACGAGAAGCUUGCUUCUCUGAUGUUAGCGGCGGACGGGUGAGUAACACGUGGAUAACCUACCUAUAAGACUGGGAUAACUUCGGGAAACCGGAGCUAAUACCGGAUAAUAUUUUGAACCGCAUGGUUCAAAAGUGAAAGACGGUCUUGCUGUCACUUAUAGAUGGAUCCGCGCUGCAUUAGCUAGUUGGUAAGGUAACGGCUUACCAAGGCAACGAUGCAUAGCCGACCUGAGAGAGUGAUCGGCCACACUGGAACUGGGACACGGGCCAGACUCCUACGGGAGGCAGCAGUAGGGAAUCUUCCGCAAUGGGCGAAAGCCUGACGGAGCAACGCCGCGUGAGUGAUGAAGGUCUUCGGAUCGUAAAACUCUGUUAUUAGGGAAGAACAUAUGUGUAAGUAACUGUGCACAUCUUGACGGUACCUAAUCAGAAAGCCACGGCUAACUACGUG